rnacentral:rRNA from 1 species
UACGGGGGGAGCAAGCGUUGUUCGGAUUUACUGGGCGUAAAGAGCGCGUAGGCGGCCACCGCAAGUCAGUUGUGAAAUCUCUGGGCUUAACCCAGAACGGUCAGCUGAUACUGCGGGGCUAGAGUGCAGAAGGGGCAACUGGAAUUCUCGGUGUAGCGGUGAAAUGCGUAGAUAUCGAGAGGAACACCUGCGGCGAAGGCGGGUUGCUGGGCUAACACUGACGCUGACAGCGCGAAAGCUAGGGGAGCGAACGGG